rnacentral:tRNA from 1 species
GGAGUGUAGCUCAGGUGGUAGAGCACUUGACUUUUAAUCAAGUUGUCCGGGGUUCGAAUCCCCGCAC